rnacentral:rRNA from 1 species
CCAGACUCCUACGGGAGGCAGCAGUGGGGAAUAUUGGGCAAUGGGCGCAAGCCUGACCCAGCAACGCCGUGUGAAGGAAGAAGGCUUUCGGGUUGUAAACUUCUUUUCUCAGGGACGAAGAAAGUGACGGUACCUGAGGAAUAAGCCACGGCUAACUACGUGCCAGCAGCCGCGGUAAUACGUAGGUGGCAAGCGUUAUCCGGAUUUACUGGGUGUAAAGGGCGUGUAGGCGGGACUGCAAGUCAGAUGUGAAAACCACGGGCUCAACCUGUGGCCUGCAUUUGAAACUGUAGUUCUUGAGUACUGGAGAGGCAGACGGAAUUCCUAGUGUAGCGGUGAAAUGCUUAGAUAUCAUGAAGAACUCCGAUCGCGAAGGCAAGUGUCCGGGGUGCAACUGACGCUGAGGCUCGAAAGUGCGGGUAUCAAACAGGAUUAGAUACCCUGGUACA